rnacentral:piRNA from 1 species
CAGAACCGAUGUGGCCUACCCAGCUGGCUUC